rnacentral:rRNA from 1 species
UACGGAGGGAGCUAGCGUUGUUCGGAAUUACUGGGCGUAAAGCGCGCGUAGGCGGCUUUGCAAGACAGAUGUGAAAUCCCCGGGCUCAACCUGGGAACUGCAUUUGUGACUGCAAAGCUGGAGUACGGCAGAGGGGGAUGGAAUUCCGCGUGUAGCAGUGAAAUGCGUAGAUAUGCGGAGGAACACCGAUGGCGAAGGCAAUCCCCUGGGCCUGUACUGACGCUCAUGCACGAAAGCGUGGGGAGCAAACAGG